UCCAUUUUGCUUUGGUGGUUAAGAGUUUGCGGAUGUGAUACUUUCAUAGUUAUUUUUUUUGGAUUACGCUAUUGCUGUUUUGCUUAGUUACUAGAAAGGAAUUCUUUGACAAUCAUUUUGUAUGUAUCUGGUCACAUUUUGCUUUGGGGAGGUUAAGGCUCAGUGCCAGCAAUCGCGGUUAUACUGAUUAUCUCUUUGUUCUUUUUUUUUGCAUUAAGUUGCUGCUAAAUUAUCUGGCUUUCUCGUUACAAUGGUUGAAGAGGUUUUAUUUAUUUUUGGCACUUUAAUAGUUUUUUUUUAUGACAGGGAUUAGAGACCCCUUUAUUAGAACUUUAAUUUUUUUUUGCGUCAGUUUCUUAACUGAAAAAGCUUGUCGGCUAAUUAUAUUUGUUUGGGGGAGUGUGUGACUUAAAAAGAUGAUCCACUAAUUAUUUUGCCAUUACUAGUUUUGUUAGUGUACAUCCGGUUUAAAGCUUUGAACUUAAAGUUUCAGGCGUAUUUUAUCUAAAAUUUAAGCUAGGUCAAUGUGCUGCUAAUGAAAUGGGUGUCAUUCUCUACGUUUAGUUAAAGUGACUUUUGUAAUCAAGGCUAAUUUGGGACUCAAUAGUAAUUUAUUGGUGAGAGAGGUUAAGUGAAUAUGAAAUGAUUAGCGUACACAUCGCCCGUCACCUUCGAUUUUUAAUUGAAGUAAGUCGUAACAUGGUAAUUCUAGGGGAACCUGGAGUUAGAGUUGAU
rnacentral:rRNA from 1 species